rnacentral:rRNA from 1 species
UACGUAGGGUGCAAGCGUUAAUCGGAAUUACUGGGCGUAAAGCGUGCGCAGGCGGUUAUGCAAGACCGAUGUGAAAUCCCCGGGCUUAACCUGGGAACUGCAUUUGUGACUGCAUAGCUGGAGUACGGUAGAGGGGGAUGGAAUUCCGCGUGUAGCAGUGAAAUGCGUAGAUAUGCGGAGGAACACCGAUGGCGAAGGCAGGCCCCUGGACCUGUACUGACGCUCAUGCACGAAAGCGUGGGGAGCAAACAGG